rnacentral:rRNA from 1 species
CUCCUACGGGAGGCAGCAGUGGGGAAUAUUGCACAAUGGGGGAAACCCUGAUGCAGCCAUGCCGCGUGUGUGAAGAAGGCCUUCGGGUUGUAAAGCACUUCCAGCGAGGAGGAAAGGUUGAUGCCUAAUACGUAUCAACUGUGACGUUACUCGCAGAAGAAGCACCGGCUAACUCCGUGCCAGCAGCCGCGGUAAUACGGAGGGUGCAAGCGUUAAUCGGAAUUACUGGGCGUAAAGCGCACGCAGGCGGUUGGAUAAGUUAGAUGUGAAAGCCCCGGGCUCAACCUGGGAAUUGCAUUUAAAACUGUCCAGCUAGAGUCUUGUAGAGGGGGGUAGAAUUCCAGGUGUAGCGGUGAAAUGCGUAGAGAUCUGGAGGAAUACCGGUGGCGAAGGCGGCCCCCUGGACAAAGACUGACGCUCAGGUGCGAAAGCGUGGGGAGCAAACAGGAUUAGAUACCCUGGUAGUCCACGCCGUAAACGAUGUCGAUUUGGAGGCUGUGUCCUUGAGACGUGGCUUCCGGAGCUAACGCGUUAAAUCGACCGCCUGGGGAGUACGGCCGCAAGGUUAAAACUCAAAUGAAUUGACGGGGGCCCGCACAAGCGGUGGAGCAUGUGGUUUAAUUCGAUGCAACGCGAAGAACCUUACCUGGCCUUGACAUGUCUGGAAUCCUGCAGAGAUGCGGGAGUGCCUUCGGGAAUCAGAACACAGGUGCUGCAUGGCUGUCGUCAGCUCGUGUCGUGAGGUGUUAGGUUAAGUCCUGCAACGAGCGCAACCCCUGUCACUAGUUGCCAUCAUUAAGUUGGGGACUCUAGUGAGACUGCCUACGCAAGUAGAGAGGAAGGUGGGGAUGACGUCAAAUCAUCACGGCCCUUACGCCUUGGGCCACACACGUAAUACAAUGGCCGGUACAGAGGGCAGCUACACAGCGAUGUGAUGCAAAUCUCGAAAGCCGGUCUCAGUUCGGAUUGGAGUCUGCAACUCGACUCUAUGAAGCUGGAAUCGCUAGUAAUCGCGCAUCAGCCAUGGCGCGGUGAAUACGUUCCCGGGCCUUGUACACACCGCCCGU